UGAAUGCAAAAUGAGAUGGAAGGAAGGGCC
rnacentral:piRNA from 1 species